rnacentral:rRNA from 1 species
GAUGAACGCUGGCGGCGUGCCUAACACAUGCAAGUCGAGCGAUUCUCUUCGGAGAAGAGCGGCGGACGGGUGAGUAACGCGUGGGUAACCUGCCCUGUACACACGGAUAACAUACCGAAAGGUAUGCUAAUACGAGAUAAUAUGCUUUUAUCGCAUGGUAGAAGUAUCAAAGCUUUUGCGGUACAGGAUGGACCCGCGUCUGAUUAGCUAGUUGGUAAGGUAACGGCUUACCAAGGCGACGAUCAGUAGCCGACCUGAGAGGGUGAUCGGCCACAUUUGGACAGAGACACGGUCCAAACUCUUACAGGAUGCAGCAGUGUGGAAUACUGCACAAUGGGCGAAAGCCUGAAGCAGCAACGCCGCGUGAGCGAUGAAGGCCUUCGGUGCGUAAAGCUCUGUCCUCAAGGAAGAUAAUGACGGUACUUGAGGAGGAAGCCCCGGCUAACUACGUGCCAGCCGCCGCGGUAA